rnacentral:rRNA from 1 species
UCGGGAAUUUUGGGCAAUGGGCGAAAGCCUGACCCAGCAACGCCGCGUGAAGGAUGAAGUAUUUCGGUAUGUAAACUUCGAAAGAAUAGGAAGAAUAAAUGACGGUACUAUUUAUAAGGUCCGGCUAACUACGUGCCAGCAGCCGCGGUAAUACGUAGGGACCAAGCGUUGUUCGGAUUUACUGGGCGUAAAGGGCGCGUAGGCGGCAAUUCAAGUCAUCUGUGAAAUCUCCGGGCUUAACUCGGAACGGUCAGAUGAUACUGCUUUGCUAGAGUGCAGAAGGGGCAAUCGGAAUUCCUGGUGUAGCGGUGAAAUGCGUAGAUAUCAAGAGGAACACCUGAGGUGAAGACGGGUUGCUGGGCUGACACUGACGCUGAGGCGCGAAAGCCAGGGGAGCAAACGGGAUUAGAUACCCUGGUAGUCCCUGAGCGGGCUGGCAAGGCGCAU